rnacentral:rRNA from 1 species
UACGUAGGGGGCAAGCGUUGUCCGGAAUCAUUGGGCGUAAAGAGCGCGUAGGCGGUCCGGUAAGUCAGCUGUGAAAGUCAGGGGCUCAACCCUUGAAAGCCGGUUGAUACUGUCGGGCUAGAGUCCCGGAAGAGGCGAGUGGAAUUCCUGGUGUAGCGGUGAAAUGCGCAGAUAUCAGGAGGAACACCGGUGGCGAAGGCGGGUCUCUGGGCCGAUACUGACGCUGAGGCGCGAAAGCCAGGGGAGCGAACGGG